GGGAAAGUGACUUAGUGGUAGAGUGCAUGUUUUGCAUGCAUGAGGCCCUGGGUUUGAUUUCUCAGCACCA
rnacentral:tRNA from 1 species